GUAUAUUUUUCUAGCUCAGUUGGUAGAGCAUGAGACUCUUAAUCUCAGGGUCAUGGGUUCAAGCCCCACAUUGGACG